rnacentral:piRNA from 1 species
UCACCAAGUCUGAUGCCAACUAGAGCCAAAG